rnacentral:rRNA from 1 species
CACGGGGGGAGCAAGCGUUGUUCGGAAUCACUGGGCGUAAAGGGCGUGUAGGCGGUUUGGUAAGUGGGAUGUGAAAUGCCUCGGCUCACCCGAGGACCGGCAUCCCAAACUGCCAAGCUUGAGUAUGGGAGAGGAUGUGGGAAUUCCUGGUGUAGCGGUGAAAUGCGUAGAUAUCAGGAGGAACACCGGUGGCGAGGGCGCACAUCUGGCUCAAUACUGACGCUGAGGCGCGAAAGCUAGGGGAGCAAACGGG